rnacentral:rRNA from 1 species
AUACCAGCUUGCUGGUAGGCGUCGAGCGGCGGACGGGUGAGUAACACUUAGGAAUCUACCUAGUAGUGGGGGAUAGCUCGGGGAAACUCGAAUUAAUACCGCAUACGACCUACGGGAGAAAGGGGGCAACUUGUUGCUCUCGCUAUUAGAUGAGCCUAAGUCGGAUUAGCUAGUUGGUGGGGUAAAGGCCUACCAAGGCGACGAUCUGUAGCUGGUCUGAGAGGAUGAUCAGCCACACCGGGACUGAGACACGGCCCGGACUCCUACGGGAGGCAGCAGUGGGGAAUAUUGGACAAUGGGGGCAACCCUGAUCCAGCCAUGCCGCGUGUGUGAAGAAGGCCUUUUGGUUGUAAAGCACUUUAAGCAGUGAAGAAGACCUAACGGUUAAUACCCGUUAGCGAUGACAUUAGCUG